UCCGGGUUUCGCCCGGCAGUCUCCCUAGAACCUUACCUGGGCUUGAACUACUGGUAGUAAGUCUUUGGAAACAUCGACUGAUCCGCAAGGAAGCCAGCAGAGGUGCUGCAUGGUUGUCGUCAGCUCGUGUCGUGAGAUGUUGGGUUAAGUCCCGCAACGAGCGCAACCCCUAUCUCAUGUUGCUAAUCCCGCAAGGGAUGCACUUUUGAGAAACUGCCUUCGAUAAGAAGGAGGAAGGUGGGGAUGACGUCUGCGUAACAGAA
rnacentral:misc_RNA from 1 species